GAUGAAGAACGUAGCGAAAUGCGAUACUUGGUGUGAAUUGCAGAAUCCCGUGAACCAUCGAGUCUUUGAACGCAAGUUGCGCCCGAAGCCAUUAGGCCGAGGGCACGCCUGCCUGGGUGUCACACACCGUUACCCUCGCGCCAACGUCCAUCGUUGGCCGCGGCGCGGGGCGUGCGCUGACCUCCCGCGAGCGGGUCUCGUGGUUGGUUGAAAAUCGAGUUCGCGGUCGAGGGUGCCGUGAUGAAAUGGUGGAUGAUGAUGCCCGAGGCCAAUCACGCGCGACUCUGUCCGGCUCGGACUCCUGGACCCCUUCGGCGUCUCCGGACGCUCUUUGGCGAGACCUCAGGUCAGGCGGGGCUACCCGCUGAGUUUAAGCAUAUCAAUAAGCGGAGGA
rnacentral:misc_RNA from 1 species